rnacentral:rRNA from 1 species
AUGCGUGUGUGUGCGCCACGCGUCCGUGUUCUGCACUUGUCGUACAGACAACCAGGGCUGCUAGCAAGGAUUAAUCCGUUGCUUCUUCCAAGCCUCUCUAAUUUAGAAGUACACGUGGACGGUCCAGAUCUUCAGAUCUUUGGAAUGUUUCCAGAGCUGGUUACUCUUAAGCUGAACACCCCAAUCGGCCUCCACCAUAAUGCCAUGGGAGCUGUAGGUGCUUUCCCCAAGCUAAGGGUUUUCACUACGAGUGGAACGCCCGGCCGGUUUGUGAAGGGAGAUAUGCCAUGCCUUGAACACCUCGAGUUCCGCAUCAAUUUUGUGCAGGAAUCCAAUCUUGAGUUUGACUUUGCUAGCUUGGUGAACCUCCCUUUGCUUCAGAAAGUUAAAGCCUAUAUAGUGCAUGAUCCUGCUAUCGUCCCUCGUGCGGACCUCCACAAGGCAGUGGAAGUGGCAAGGCAUGUGAUUAACAUCCUUCCCGACCCUCCCAUACUUCAGUUCUUUGCGAUGCCGAUCAGUUCUGACUGA